AACGAACGCUGGCGGCAUGCCUAAUACAUGCAAGUCGAACGAGAUCUUCGGAUCUAGUGGCGCACGGGUGCGUAACGCGUGGGAAUCUGCCCUUGGGUUCGGAAUAACUUCUGGAAACGGAAGCUAAUACCGGAUGAUGACGUAAGUCCAAAGAUUUAUCGCCCAAGGAUGAGCCCGCGUAGGAUUAGCUAGUUGGUGGGGUAAAGGCCCACCAAGGCGACGAUCCUUAGCUGGUCUGAGAGGAUGAUCAGCCACACUGGGACUGAGACACGGCCCAGACUCCUACGGGAGGCAGCAGUAGGGAAUAUUGGACCAUGGGCGAAAGCCUGAUCCAGCAAUGCCGCGUGAGUGAUGAAGGCCUUAGGGUUGUAAAGCUCUUUUACCCGGGAUGAUAAUGACAGUACCGGGAGAACAAGCUCCGGCUAACUCCGUG
rnacentral:rRNA from 1 species